AUAUUGUUAUUUUGGCAGAUUAGUGCAUUAAAUUUAGAAUUUAAUUAUGUUAUUUUACAAAUAAUAC
rnacentral:tRNA from 1 species